rnacentral:lncRNA from 1 species
UGUGACCCCUCAAUAUUUCAAAAACUAUCUAGAUAGUACAUCAAUUACUUGUCAAAAUAUAUGAUUAACCUCGAGUCCGAAGCAUGACAAGUAUGAAGGAAGAAGGUAGUUCCUAAUAGUAUUAUUAUUAUAUUAAACUCAAAAAAAUUUUGAAUUAAAACAUAAUAAGGUAUAUGGAAAUGAAGGCACCUGAAGAUUGAAGUUUCUUUAUUUAGUUUUCUCCCCAAACGUAGCCGACAUUGUUCCUAAUGGAGUAGCAUUCCUACAAAAGACACUUAAGUAGGACUCGAUCAACCUAAACAAAAUGUAAAAUAUAUGAAUUAAAAAGCAGGAGCUAGGUUGUCUCUCAGAAGUGCUAAGUUUAAAACCUUCAGCCAGACUAAACUUUCAUACAGGGUCAACCAAUAUAAAUAGGCUCAUGGAGAACCAUAGCCUCCUCUACAACUUCAGUGGACAAUUUCAAUUAAAACAUAAUAAGGUAUAUGGAAAUGAAGGCACCUGAAGAUUGAAGUUUCUUUAUUUAGCUCUCUCCAAACGAAGCCGACAUUGUUCCUAAUGGAGUAGCAUUCCUACAAAAGACAGUUAAGUAGGACUCGAUCAACCUAAACAAAAUGUAAAAUAUAUGAAUUAAAAAGCAGGAGCUAGGUUGUCUCUCAGAAGUGCUAAGUUUAAAACCUUCAGCCAGACUAAACUUUCAUAUAGGGUCAACCAAUAUAAAUAGGCUCAUGGAGAACCAUAGCCUCCUCUACAACUUCAGUGGGCAAUUUCAAAAAUGGUUUUAGUCAUUAUCCAUGAAUUUUAAAAACUACUCCAGUGCUUGGAUUCUCAAUUUCCACGGCCCCAUACAAGAAUCUCUUUCACUAAAAAGAGCCUAGUCCAUCUAGACCUAAGUUUCUCAGGAAAUAGGUGUAGCCUAG